AACCUGGUUGAUCCUGCCAGUAGUCAUAUGCCUGUCUCAAAGAUUAAGCCAUGCAUGUCUAAGUACAAGCCUCACUAAGGUGAAACCGCGAAUGGCUCAUUAAAUCACACCUAAUGUACUGGAUAGUCUCAGUUACUUGGAUAACUGCGGUAAUUCUGGAGCUAAUACAUGCGCAAAAACCGCGACUCACGGAGCGGUGCUUUUAUUAGAUCAAAACCAAACGGCCUCGAGCCGUCCCCCUGGUGAUUCUGAAUAACUUUGGGCUGAUCGCACGGUCGUGUACCGGCGACGUAUCCUUCCAAGGUGUGCCCUAUCAACUGUCGACUGUGGCAUAGACGCCCACAGUGGUUUUGACGGGUAACGGGGAAUUAGGGUUCGAUUCCGGAGAGGGAGCCUGAGAAACGGCUACCACUUCUACGGAAGGCAGCAAGGGCCCCAAU
rnacentral:rRNA from 1 species